AGCUUUGUGCAGUGACAGUGUUGUAGCCAAUGAGGUUUAUCCAAGGCGCGAUAUUACUAGUUGAAAACUUUUCCCAAUACCCCGCCAUGACGACUUGAAAUAUAGCCGGCAAUGUAAAUUUUUGACAGUCUGCACCUAGA
rnacentral:snRNA from 1 species